rnacentral:rRNA from 1 species
UGCAAGUCGAACGGCAGCACGGACUUCGGUCUGGUGGCGAGUGGCGAACGGGUGAGUAACAUAUCGGAACGUAUCCAAUAAUGGGGGAUAACUAAUCGAAAGGUUGGCUAAUACCGCAUACGCCCUGAGGGGGAAAGCUAGGGAUCUUCGGACCUGGCGUUAAUGGAGCGGCCGAUAUCUGAUUAGCUAGUUGGUGGGGUAAAGGCCCACCAAGGCGACGAUCAGUAGCUGGUCUGAGAGGACGACCAGCCACACUGGAACUGAGACACGGUCCAGACUCCUACGGGAGGCAGCAGUGGGGAAUUUUGGACAAUGGGCGCAAGCCUGAUCCAGCCAUUCCGCGUGAGUGAAGAAGGCCUUCGGGUUGUAAAGCUCUUUCGCAAGGGAAGAAAACUUAUCCUCUAACAUAGGAUGAGGUUGACGGUACCUUGAUAAGAAGCACCGGCUAACUACGUGCCAGCAGCCGCGGUAAUACGUAGGGUGCGAGCGUUAAUCGGAAUUACUGGGCGUAAAGCGUGCGCAGGCUGUUUUGUAAGUCAGAUGUGAAAUCCCCGAGCUCAACUUGGGAACUGCGUUUGAAACUACAAGACUAGAAUAGGUCAGAGGGGGGUAGAAUUCCACGUGUAGCAGUGAAAUGCGUAGAGAUGUGGAGGAAUAUCAAUGGCGAAGGCAGCCCCCUGGGAUCAUAUUGACGCUCAUGCACGAAAGCGUGGGGAGCAAACAGGAUUAGAUACCCUGGUAGUCCACGCCCUAAACGAUGUCUACUAGUUGUUGGUGGAGUAAAAUCCAUGAGUAACGCAGCUAACGCGUGAAGUAGACCGCCUGGGGAGUACGGUCGCAAGAUUAAAACUCAAAUGAAUUGACGGGGGCCCGCACAAGCGGUGGAUUAUGUGGAUUAAUUCGAUGCAACGCGAAAAACCUUACCUGGCCUUGACAUGUACGGAACUUUCCAGAGAUGGAUUGGUGCUCGAAAGAGAACCGUAACACAGGUGCUGCAUGGCUGUCGUCAGCUCG